rnacentral:tRNA from 1 species
UCCCUGGCAGUCCAGUAACUAAGACUCUGCACUCCCAAUGCAGGGGACCCAGGUUCGAUCCCUGCUCUGGGAA